GCCACAGGAGGGAGAAAAACAAACAGGAAAGAAUUAAAAGGGUUGGGAUAGGGCUGCAAAGCAACAGGCAUAAAUCACUCAGCUCUUCCCUCCCUGAGCUCCCUUGCAGCCAGCACAUGCACAACACCUCCCUUCUGGAUGAGGCUUUGGCAUGAGAGGCAGAUCCCAUGAAUGCUCCAUCGCGUUACCACAGCAGAGCAGCGCUUGGCAAGCUGAUGCAGGAUACUCCCUCAAGAAAACUUUGAAGGAACAGUGCUGCACGGCUGAACUAGGCAAUUACAAAUAUACCAGACACAGGGCUGAGACCCACCUCACUUCUGUUCUGCUGGAGUUCAUAGAAUCACCAAGGUUGGGAAAGGCCCACAGGAUCACCCAGUCCAACCAUCACCAACAGUUCUCAAGAGUUGCAGCACAGUGAAUCACUCCAACCUUCCCUCAAGGAGGGACAGCACAAUAGGAUCAGCCUCUUCUGCACUGCUCUGAAAUCACAAUUCAGAAAAUGGACAAAGUGGAUAAUAAAUUACUCUUCUUAUGCCAGGUAUUUUCCAUUUUGUGUUUUAACCGUUGUUGGUUCUUGGCACUGUUAAACUGUUAAUGGUAAAUUCAAAAGGAAUUGAGGACCUGGCUUCCUGGAUCGUAGUUUUUGGCUUUCCUGCACAAUAGGAUGAAGCCUGCAAGUCCCUUUUGUUACAUGCAGGUACCCAACUCUACUUCGUUACCAAUUAUCCUUCCUCAGCCUCUCCAUCCCUGUAUUACAUAAGGGUUCAGGUGAGACUCCUAAGAUAUCUGACUGCUUUAGCAUGUUUGGUUUUAUGUCUUUGUUACUUUAUAUCUCUCUUUGGCAGUUACAUCUACCUACAUAAUUGCUCUCAUUAAAAGGCUUAGUCAUGGUCUGAAGUAAGUGUAACCCACUGUUAUCUGUGCACUUAAGCAAAUUUCAGCACAGAAAAUUGGGGUAUCAUCUAAAUAUCAGACUACAGGAAGAUAAAACAAUCUAUACUGAAAAUCCAGAAUAAAAAGAAAUAACAGGCUUUGAAGCAGGCCUACCACCGAUUUCAGCUAUCCCCAAAACUGUACCAGGAAGGUUUUAAAUGGGUUUAAACCUCAGAUUUUUCACCUUUGGAAUUCCAGCCCUGUGACUGGUACGUGUGAGCUGAAAGGAGCACAGUCUGCACAGCGCAGUGCUGCAGGAGUGGCAGUUCUCUGAAACUGGAACCAGUCUUGGAAUUACAGUGGUGCUUCUUUUUCCAGGGAAAGGAAGGGAGUGGAAAUGGAAAAACAUCAGUGAGAAAAACCAAACAGGGCCCAAAAUUCAGAGCUGAGGAAGUCUGCAAUGGAGAAUCUAGUUGAGACAGCUGUGCUGAGGCUGACCUAACCUGGGGCUGACCAAGCAAGUUCCAUGAUGUCAUAUUUUGCUAUGAUGGGCCAUUAAAUUAAGUCGCUGGUCCAGACCUUCCUCCUGACACCUAUUAAAUCUACAGCUUUGGAGCUGGAGUUGUCAAGGUAGCACUGCAUCAGAUACCAGGGGAAUCCACGCACACUGUUACAGAAGAUUGCUGCUUGCAUAAAACCUCUUUGCUCUUUUCUUGAUUGUAUAUUCAGGAUAUAUUUUGCAGGCAUAGUCUACGAUUAGAUUAAACAAGCAAAGGAAUUAUUUAUUGCCUGUCCCACUGCACCUACUGCUUAACACCAGAUGAAACUAAAACAAUGGCUUCUGAGCUUGGGUCAAUAGUCUUCCUCUAUAGUCUACCCUCAAUUUCAAAAGCAUAGAGAAAAAAUGGUUAAUUCUACGGUGCCUGCGUUACAAAAAGGAGGAUUCAUUCAUAUUUACAGCAGCCACAAGAACUUCCAAAUAUAUAUUUUUCCAACCUGAAGGGUUUCAGUGACUUGUUCUACAUUUCCAUAGUAGACAAUAGAUCUCACAUAGCACUGUGAUCCAAUCUGCUUUUCUUUGCAGCAGGUAAUUGUAGGACGUUUUUAGGGAUACCUGUAACCUCACAACAUUGCCCUGCCUACUUCAAAAGAAGCUGUCAUCAAAAAGUAUUACCAGUCAAAAGAGUCAGUGAUGCAAUUAUCUUUUUAAACAAACCCAGAAUAGUGGAUCAAACGCACACUACUUUUGAUUAUCCUCAGUCAAGUUUUCUUUAGGGGAUUCUCUGAGCAUCUCCUUCCCCUCAUUCGAGUUAUCAAACUCUCAUUUCUAGACCUCAGAGAACACCUACACGCUCCCUUCUGCUUCCUUCUUCCCACAACCUGAAGUUAAAUGUGGAGCACUUCCUCUGCCACCACUCUUGAAGCCUCAGUGGCCCACCCAACAAUGCCACUCUGUGGCUGGACAGGUAGAGAGAUGUUCUUGCAAUACUCAUUCCUCUUGACAAAUAUCAAUUAUUGUGACCAGGUCUUUUAACAAAAUAAAUACUGACUAGCAGCUAAGAGACUGGCUACUGGCUGCUUCUCACCUCCACCAGGAGCCCUGAAGUGCAGGACAGAAUCCAGGAAAGAUUUUCUGGAAAAUGAAGAGACCCAAUAAAGCCUCUAAGCCCAGGCAAGUCAAUAAACUGUCACAGUUGCCCGGAAGGAAUUGGCUCGUCUUAGAUAAACUCACAAAGGCCCUGAAAAAACACAACUUUUUUUUUUUAAAUGGCAGAGAUUAAUUUUCUGACUUCAAAGUAGUAUUAAUGCAGAACUUGGCUAAGGUUUCCUGUGCAAGCAGUUUCCCCCCGAGCAAUGAUUUCAGAAUCCGCCUUGUUUUAAGGCUGGCAUUUGCUGCAGCUGCAGACCUGGAGUAUUUUCGAUCCCCUCUGAGUGCUGGAACACUAUCCAACAAUUAAACCACAACCCAAAAACAAUCAAACAUCUGUUUGGAGGAAGGCUGCUCAGUGACUGACAUUCUCAUGCCAGCAUAAACACGAAAGCUGCUGAGUGAUUCCUGUCUUUUGUGUAUAUAUGUAUACGUAUGCACCGCUUGUGUAUUUUUUGUUCCUGCAUGCAGAAUAUGUAAAUAUGCUUAAGAGCAUUUUUAUUGCAAUAUGUGGGUGUACUUGUAUAGCUUAUUUGUGGAAGUAUUUUCAUUGGCGUGAACACACAGAUUUGAAUGUCAGCUUGAGAUGUGGUUAUUUGUGUGCUGGAGGUGGUUUUGCAGGAGGCCAAAGCGAACGUGGAUUGGGAGUCUGCAAGCAGAUUCAAUUGAAACCAGCUACUCAUCAUGAUUUAUGAGAGUCUUUGGGACAGGAGCUGAUCACAUGUAAGGAUUCAGGCUUUCAGCUCGGAAGCUCAAGAGCUCAAUGCCAUUGAUGACCCAGGGGAGGAGCUGUGAUACAGGAUCCCAUCACUGAUUUCCACGCUGCCAUCUCAUCAUCAAGUAGUCGAAACCCUUAACCCAUGUGAGCACUUCACCAUGCUAGAGAACUCAGCUCCUCACAGAACAGAAAACAAUGACCACUUGUUAAGCAUUUGUUUGAAAGAGGAAGAAAAAGAGUAUUACAAUGAGUGAUUUCAAUCUCUGUGCUGUCAGCUGAAGGUUCCAUGCUGCCAGAAACAAACAAAUGUAUUCCCUGUUUACAAAUGAUACCAAACAUUUUUAACCUCAAAGACUUUUGUAUCUUAUGUUGGGGAUUUUUUGGCGAGUGAAAAGAAAUAACUUUAGUAUUUAAAAAGUAGCGGUAUUUGAGUAUUUCAUUUGAUUAUGUUUGUUUGAUAAUACACAACUGCUCUAAAACUGACAACUUCGCUAUGAUAAAAACAAAACAGCUUGGAGGAAAUAAAACACCAAUAAUAUUUGCAAACUACAUAAAAGCACUUAGUGGGAAAAAUGCUAUUUCACUAACAGUAAGGAAUGACAGGUUAGUUAAAAAUAGAUAAAAGCUCAUAAAACAAAAGGGAACAAAAGUCAUAUAUAUCUAUUAAUUACUAGGUAGCUAGCCUGACUGUGCUGCUGCUAGCAAAAGUGCAGCUGCAUCAUUACUGGAAAAAUGGGACAGGCUAUGUACACAAAUAGGGCUGGAGUUCAAGCAUGCCUGCCCAAAUCCUCUCUGCUACUCCAUUUAGUGCAUUCUUUCUUAUCAUUCAAAGGGCUGCAUUGAAAUGUGCUGAGCUUCACUGUGCUCUGGAUCAGGGUUAAUGCACGUCUGAAUCCUCUGAGCUGGAGAGCUACUACUUAAAGCCAGUUUUGAGCAUUAGCAGAUUAUUUAAAAAUACCUUUGGAUGAAGAUGUAACGGCUCAGAUGGUGUGCAAUAAAAAACAAUGUACAUCUAGAAAGCUGCUGAGAGCUCAAUGGUUGAACUCAUAGAACGUUUCCUUCACUUGGACUCCAUCAGCAAGCAAGCUCCUACCAGUUCAUCUCUUGCCUUCAUUUACAAAUGCAGAGGAUUUAGCUCUCAGUCUCACUUUGGAGUCUCCAUUAGGACAUCUCCCCAAGUUAUGCUUAAAUCUGGUUCUCAUUUGUUCUUCUCCUGAAAUUAUUCAGGCUACUGUCACUACAUGAUUUGUCUUCAUGACUUCCAAAGGAUGAGUGCUGAGAUGGGAUUUGGACAGAAGGAUAAUACUGAGAGGUGAAACCAGGAAGACCUACACAUUUCUCAAAGGGCCACAAUCAGAAUUCCUUAUUUCCAGAAACUGGCUUUACAUUAUUUCUUAACAGGAGAUAAAGCAAAUUCUCUUAGAAGACCAAAACUUUUCUUUUCCCCCCUGCAAAACUGCAAUCUUCCCAAAAUGCAACAACUCUGAAAUUCUUCAGCCUAAUUCACAGAGAAAACUCAGUCUUCCCAAGACCACAACUUUUUGCCUUGCUUGCACUUUGCUCCUCUGGGCUUGAUUGCUAUGCUAAUUAAACAAGACAUUGGUUAGGUUUUAACAUAGAUAUUCUUUUUUUUAUUUUGGUUUCAGCUUCUUGAAAGGUGUCCAAGAAUACCAGGCAAGGAAAUGAAAUCUGCAUCCCAAGGAAACAAUCCCUUUCCAAAAUUGUUAAUCUUUCCUUAUGACAUGUUUUGGAAUACAAAUGUAUCCAGAGGGGGUUUAUUCAGCAAUAUGCUGUGCUCAUGUAAGUGAUCAAAUUGGGGGUUUAUUGCAGUGGUACAUAUGUUAACAAUAACUCAAACUUUUACUCACCCUGCUUCACCACCACAGCUGCUCUUGGUUUUUCUUACAGCCCCACCCAGUGACACUUGGAACACAAGCAGAAACACGUAUGUAUUACAAGGAGCGAUGUUCUACAUUGUUAUUAGAGAACCGGGCUUCCUUCAGCAUGCAACAUUAUCAUAACAAACCCAUGACUACACACUUUAACUGUCACUACAUUGCCUUCCAUAUAUGCUGGGAUCAGCAGAAUUAGAAGCCAGGUCUGGUUGCUACAUAUCACUUCUGAUAAAUUUCUGCAUUACAGCAACUGAAGGCGACUAGAGAGCUUUGGCUGUGCCAGAUUCAAUCCAUUCAUAGGUCUGUUCCCCCAGCACGUUUCGUGAAGCUAUUUAGGGGUCAUAUGGAAAUGAAUGCAUGAAGAAGUGAAGAAAAAAGACAUAAUAUUAAACUCUGUAAGUGACUUUUAAGUGAAGACUUUUGCAAAAAGAAAAGACGUAGCAGGUAAGAAAUACAGAGGGGUAUUCUAUGCAUCAUACGGUAUGCAAUGAGAAAUGCUGAAUUUACCAAAAGCUACCAGCAGUUUUGGUUAUUCAGGUGAAGACAACUUAUGCCAAAAAUCUCAGGCAUCUUAAUGUCUCUUGAGACAAAGAUAAAAAAGCAUUCAUAAUCAGAAGUCAGCUCUUAAAACAUACAAUUGGUUCUUAUUUUGAGAAAAGUAGUAACAAGACUUUUUUUAUUUCUUUUUAAUCAAAACAUUGCUCAGAAGCCACAAGUCUCAGAUCAAGAACCAAAUGCGGAAUGCUAAGCGCUCACUAAGAGCUGGCUUGGGCAGCAUGAGUACUACACUAAUUUCUCUUUCAUUCCCUCAGCCCAAAAGCAAAACACAUUUUGCAGCAGCAUCUCAGCUGUUUGCUGAUGACUGAAUCCCAGGCAGGUCAAGAGAAACUUCUUGAACUUCCAAUUUCCAAGAAAGCCAACGAUCCAAGUGAAGUAAGAAGAAAGAAGACAUGCCGUGAAAGACAAAAAGCCUUCUUCAAACACAGCCCUUAAAUAACAGGAUGUGCAUGAAAUCCAAACUUCCUAAUGAAAUAAUUCCAAACCCUUUUGCAAGAAAGAACAGUAUUUUGAUGAAUGGUAUUUGUGACCUUAACGAUAAGCAUUAAUCUGUGCCACUUCAAAACCUCAGAAAAAAGUAGCUGGUAAGUGAGCACCUUGCUAACGAAAACCAGAGGAUGCAUCAUCCUAAUAAUCCAUGAGGAUAACCUGAGGGUAUUUUUUAACAUGACAGAGGCUGUCUCCUUGAGAAGAAAAGGUUAAAGACAACAGAGAGGCGACAGUGACAUCCCAACUACACACCUUAGUGAUAGCACAGCAUGCGCUUCCAUCAAACUACACGUGGGUUUCUAAAAUACUCUUUCACAAAUCAAGUAAUUUAAGUCCAAAUGAAGUUAAAAACAAACUAAAAAUUUGCAAAUGCUCUUCGUUCACAAAAACAUACCCUGGAGGUUUCACAAAACAGAAUAUUCCCCAAACGGCGCAAUUAUUCUAAUGAAUAUGCCUAUAGAAUAAAUGGCUGCUCAGUAGGAGCAACUAGUGAAGCAUAUUAUGGUGAAAAAGGUAUUUUGCAGGUAUGGCUGUAACUUCAUGAUACCAGCUAGAAAAGAUUCUGCAGGUCUACAGAAGGGCUGUAACGGUGCACUGCCAAGUUGCUGUCCAGGCAAAUUACACACGCACCGUGUGCUGGUUGCUGGAGAUGGUCUGCUCCGCAGGAGACAGGAUGCAUUGGCAGGCAGAAGCUGAGCAAAUUCCCGUUUGCACAAACCCACAUACAAUGGGAGAGAGAUUAACUGACAGCAACAGGGCUUUUCACAAGCAGACUUCCACCUAUAAAUUAGUACUACUGCAAAAUGAUAAGUGACAGAUGACAGGUUUUUAAUGAAAUCCAAUGGAAGAAUCUACCUGUCUUGCCCAGAUUCCUACACAUGAAAUACCCUCCUUAGCUGAAUCUGUACCUUGGUACAAUCUCUGACUGGUGCUUUGCAGGAAGUCAGGAUACUUGGGAUCAUCUGAUCUAUAGCUACAUGAGUUUCACUGCCACAUGUACUACAGCAAAAGGCAAAGCAGCGAUCAACAUACAGUGGGCAGACAACGUGGGUAGCGUCAGCUAUGGGUGCUGUGACAGAGUACAGCAAAGUAGGAACCACCCCUUCCAGUGAAGGAAUUCUGAAUAUCAGCCUGAAGUUACAAACAGAUUUUGCUGACUAAGAUAUGAAACAAGCCCAUUUUAAGUAGUUCCAGACCGAUCUGCAUAAAGCAUGCAGUCUGUCUAAUAACAUCUGAUGGGCUGCAAAAGCAGCCAAUGGCUGCAAAGGCCCAGAGUUCCACUGCUGGAUGGAAUCUUUGCAAAUGAGGAGAGCAGUGCUUAUGGUAGAGAAUUCACUAGGAGUCCAAGGGCAGCUCGUAUUGCUAGCAGCAAGGAAUAGUAAAACGGGAGUUCUGUUUGUUUGCUAGAAAGAUCUUGUAGCAAAAAAUACAUUGAAAAUUGAGAAAUAGCUUGCAGUGAUGAACUGGUAAAUGCAACCUUUUUACAGGGGAAUGCCAAAGCAGAUUUUAAACAUUUGGCAGUUUCUCAGAAGCUAGGGGAAGAUUAACUAUGUGAGGGAAAAAUCAGGCCAAGAAACUGAGAACAGCUUUUCAAAAUUAAGGAAAGCCAAGGAGGAACCAAGUCUAAAAAGCAUUUGGAAAGAAAUGUUAAGAUCAUUUCACUUAUAAGAGAUUGAUCUCAGAAUCAGAAGGGUUCUGAACUUGUGGAAGUGGGAAGGAGUCAAAGUUCAGAGGGGGAGCAGCAGAGCCCCAACCUCACAAAGACUACCAAGCAAGGACACACAGCAACCACAGCAAGCAGCAGUGCUCCCAGGGGUGCCAUGGCUAAUGUUGUCUGCAGAGAUGGCUCAUAGGAAUGUCACCAAAACGAACACCCGGCUGACAUCCCCAGCCUCCUCAAGUUUGGUAAAUCUGUGCUCCAGUUUCCAGUGCUUGAAACAGCCUCUGAACACCAGCUCUGCAGGCCUGGACGCAGCACACUGCAUCUCUGCUGCUGCAUUCGUGUUUAUGAAAGCUACAGAAUAUUCCUUUUUAUGCACUCAAAUAACUUUUAAUAUCAAUAGCACCCUGCUGCUAAGAAAUACAACUUAACGGCUGGGUAUUAUUUGUUUUGGAGUAGAAUAUUAUGUUGGGCAGUUUCCCACUGGAAUAUACCUCAGUGUUUUCAAUGUGGCUGUGCAUACCUUGCUUUUUGUAGGCUGUUACAACUGUAAAUGUAUUUUAAAAGCACAUGUACACAUAUGUGAAGGAGGAAAUGAGACCAAUAGCUUUUCAAGGUACUAGCAAUAGGAUUAGUUAGAACCAUGCGCUGACUUCAAAAAAUCUCACAUAAGAAAAUCCCACAUAAAACCAGUCUGUAUCUCAAAACUUCACUGCUACCCCAAGGGGGACGAAAAGGCACUGCAGGACGAAGUGAGAGGCAGCAGCUGUCCUCAAAGGCAAAGGACCUCAGGGGACCCAAACUAUAACGCAAACAUCACCUCUUGCAACAGAGCAGAAGGGAAAAAACUCUCCUUACACUUCAUUUGUAUCACUGUGUAUGCAUUUUUGAUUGAUUCUUAUCAAGACUAUUAUAUUCUACUUCUAGAAUAUGGCAAGUAACAGUGCAGGUAUCUGACUCAAACUACAGAACCUGACAAACAGCACAGCUGCGCCGAAAAUUACUAAGGUGAAAAGGUGGGUGAGAAAAGAGAAAAACUUAAAUAUGGUUUUAGGGGAGAAAAGCUGUUGCUGAAGUCUUUCCUACUUGAGAUGACUCCAAUAAAGCUAUUCCUUCCUUAUCAGUGAAACACAGUCAUCUACCUUGCAGAUCCUUCUCUCAUUCUUACACGCCAAGCACAAAGAUGGAAAAAUUGCAACAAAAUUCUAACUAAGGCAGCAAAAACUCUGCAUGGAAAGAACACAGAACAGAGGAUAAAUAAAGGUUGCUGGUAAAACCUGGAACUUGCUGUGUUCAGCUAAUCCUUCUAAGGAGUUUUUUCUGUGGAGUUAGAGCAGUGAUUGCACCAAUUACAGGCACACUUCUUCAUGAAAUAAAAAAGAGGGAGAAGGGAAGCGAAGCCAAAGCCUCUGAUUUUCUUCUGGCUGAUCUCAAACUGUAGGAAUUCCCCAAUCAAAAGAAUGCUCUGCUCUACCUAAGGAAAUUAUGUUGAUUAGAAUAAAAGCUCCAGAUGUUAACCCAAAACAGUUUGAAGGGGAGGGGAGAAGGCACGCGAGGUGACCCCACCCAGGGCAGGAAGCACAGUGAGAGCCUCAUACCCAACGCCUUGGGACACAGCCAGGGCUCAGCAGCUCUCACGGCUGUCCUCCUUCUCCCCCAGGCAGAUAUAGGAGCUUUUCCAGUUUAACCCCAACACUUCUUUGCAUCCUUUGACAUGCAUUCUUCAGAAAACAUAUAUAAAUCAGAAUAAAAGUUACAUUGAG
ensembl:lncRNA